rnacentral:rRNA from 1 species
UAGUCCACACAGUAAACGAUGAAUACUCGCUGUUUGCGAUAUACAGUAAGCGGCCAAGCGAAAGCAUUAAGUAUUCCACCUGGGGAGUACGCCGGCAACGGUGAAACUCAAAGGAAUUGACGGGGGCCCGCACAAGCGGAGGAACAUGUGGUUUAAUUCGAUGAUACGCGAGGAACCUUACCCGGGCUUAAAUUGCAUUUGAAUAAUCUGGAAACAGGUUAGCCGCAAGGCAAAUGUGA